rnacentral:rRNA from 1 species
UACGGGGGGGGUAAGCGUUGUUCGGAAUUACUGGGCGUAAAGGGCUCGUAGGCGGCCAACUAAGUCAGACGUGAAAUCCCUCGGCUUAACCGGGGAACUGCGUCUGAUACUGGAUGGCUAGAGGUUGGGAGAGGGAUGCGGAAUUCCAGGUGUAGCGGUGAAAUGCGUAGAUAUCUGGAGGAACACCGGUGGCGAAGGCAGCCUCCUGGGCCAACACUGACGUUCAUGCACGAAAGCGUGGGGAGCAAACAGG